UGGGGAAUAUUGGACAAUGGGCGCAAGCCUGAUCCAGCCAUGCCGCGUGAGUGAUGAAGGCCUUAGGGUUGUAAAGCUCUUUCACCGGUGAAGAUAAUGACGGUAACCGGAGAAGAAGCCCCGGCUAACUUCGUGCCAGCAGCCGCGGUAAUACGAAGGGGGCUAGCGUUGUUCGGAAUUACUGGGCGUAAAGCGCACGUAGGCGGACAUUUAAGUCAGGGGUGAAAUCCCGGGGCUCAACCUCGGAACUGCCUUUGAUACUGACUGUCUUGAGUUCGGGAGAGGUGAGUGGAAUGCCGAGUGUAGAGGUGAAAUUCGUAGAUAUUCGGCGGACCACCAGUGGCGAAGGCGACUCACUGGCCCGAUACUGACGCUGAGGCGCGAAAGCGUGGGGAGCAA
rnacentral:rRNA from 1 species